GACGUAGGGCGCGAGCGUUGUCCGGAUUUAUUGGGCGUAAAGAGCUCGUAGGCGGCUUGUCGCGUCGACUGUGAAAACCCGCGGCUCAACUGCGGGCCUGCAGUCGAUACGGGCAGGCUAGAGUUCGGUAGGGGAGACUGGAAUUCCUGGUGUAGCGGUGAAAUGCGCAGAUAUCAGGAGGAACACCUGCGGCGAAGGCGGGUUGCUGGGCCGACACUGACGCUGAUGCGCGAAAGCCAGGGGAGCGAACGGG
rnacentral:rRNA from 1 species